GCGGUACAGCCUGCCGCCUCGGUUUGGUCGCUAAGCAACCUCUCGCUGCUUUAAAUUUAAGUGUAAUUUCUUACCUUUGUGAGUAGGCGACCUUGAUGGGACUGACUCUUCCCGGCUCUCCCAAGAAUGUAACUAUGUUGAACCAGAAGAGAAUAAUUUCCUUGAGCUUUAACUGACUGUAACACUAGUUGGAGCCUGUUCUUGCCAACACCUACAGUUGAGCAUCAAAGCAGCCUGCUAGCUACUGCUGUGUAAUUUCCCAGAAUUCACAAGCAGGACUUCAGUUUCUGUAUGGAAAAUGUUCUGCUUUCCUUGUGUCCGUGUGUUCCAGAGCUUUAAGUCAAAGUUUAAAUAUGUAAAGACAAAGAUAAAAGACGAAGGCAUGGAGCAGACUAGAACUCAGUGAUUGAACUCGGCUUUGUGUGCACAAAGCCAUGAGAUUGAUCACUAGCCACUGCAGAGAGGAGAGAAAGAACAAGCUUAGAGUCAUGGAGCCUUAGUGAAGAAGGCCGGGAGAAUCAACUCAGGCAUCUGGCCACUCUGAGGAUUAGAGUUCCAGAAAAAGCAAGAGACACAGAGAAAAGGGGUUGUCACACAUUCGAGCUGUUAGUCCUAGCACUGGGGGGUCGGGGGUGUAGGUGGAGACAGGCCGACUUCUGGGAGUUCAAGGCCAGCCUGGGCUACAUAGUUCCAGCUACAUAGACUUUGGAAAAUGCUUUUAUCCUUGGCCACUCCAGCUUUUCUGUCAGGUGACUCUUUCCACCAGACCUUUUGAUACAGAAGCAGGGGACACCACCACUGCCCCUGCUGCAAACUGUCUUUCUUAAACCAUAGGCUAGCUCCCAAUGCGAUAACCUUGGGAUAGACUUACAGAAGCACAGGGGGCAUGACACUGAAUAUUUCACUGGCCAUAAAAGACAGAGGAGUGUGGCCUUCCAAUUGCUUCUAAUUCUCUUCUAGAAUUCCCCAGUUAUUGGUCUGGUGGGGGCAGAGGCAAAAAUGGGAUCACACACGCAAGAGGACUCAUCACUUCCCAGGAGUCACCAAUGGAUGAUGGACGUCCAGAAUCCAAAUGAAAGGUAAGUGAGGGAGACAAGCCACUGGGGCUUCGGGGAAAGAGAUCCAGCUCAGGAUGGGGAAGGCUGGGAAGAUGAGCUGAGCAGUAGGCAUAGAGAACAGCCAACCCAGACUAUAGCAAGAAGCCCUUGACGGCAUCUCCGGUUAAGAGCAACAAACAAUCAAAAACCAGCACAACUGCUCUCUGGUCUCCUGCAUUUGACUGUUUAAAAAAGGAAUUCAACAAUCCAGUCAGACCAGCGACUCUCAUGUAGAAAGCUAAACAACGGAACACAAGGCAACACAAAAAGUUCUUCUAGAAGGAAACAUACGGCUGGGGGUGCGCUAAUUUGGUAGUUUGUUUAGCUUGUAUGAAGCCCUGGGUUCGAUUCCCCAGCCGGCAUAAAAUUCAGCCGUGCCAGUGAGUGCCUAUAUUCCUAGCCUCUGGGAGAUGGAAACAAGAGGAGCCGUUCAAUGCCAUGCUCAGCUAUGAGGCUAGCCUGGACUAAAUGAUACUAUAGCUCAAAAACGCGAACAAAUGAAAAAUCAGAAAGUGGUCUAUUUAAAAUGCUGUAUAUAAAGACACAUCCACUCCCUUAAGAAAACUUAAUUUUCUG
ensembl:lincRNA